ensembl:snRNA U6 U6 spliceosomal RNA
AUGCCCGCUUUGACAGCACGUAUACUAAGAUUGGAACGAUACAGAGAAGAUUAGCAUGGCCGCUGUAUAAGGAUGACACGGAAGUUUGUGAAGCGUUCCAUAUUUUU